GUGGGGAAUAUUGGGCAAUGGGCGAAAGCCUGACCCAGCAACGCCGCGUGAAGGAAGAAGGUUUUCGGAUUGUAAACUUCUGUCCUCAGGGAAGAAGGAAGUGACGGUACCUGAGGAGGAAGCCCCGGCUAACUACGUGCCAGCAGCCGCGGUAAUACGUAGGGGGCGAGCGUUGUCCGGAAUGACUGGGCGUAAAGGGCGCGUAGACGGCUGUCUAAGUCUGGAGUGAAAGUCCUGUUUUCAAGGCGGGAAUUGCUUUGGAGACUGGAUGGCUUGAGUGCGGAAGAGGUAAGUGGAAUUCCCAGUGUAGCGGUGAAAUGCGUAGAGAUUGGGAGGAACACCAGUGGCGAAGGCGACUUACUGGGCCGUAACUGACGUUGAAGCGCGAAAGCGUGGGGAGCGAACAGGAUUAGAAACCCUUGUAGUCC
rnacentral:rRNA from 1 species